rnacentral:rRNA from 1 species
CCUACGGGAGGCAGCAGUGAGGAAUAUUGGUCAAUGGACGAGAGUCUGAACCAGCCAAGUAGCGUGAAGGAUGACUGCCCUAUGGGUUGUAAACUUCUUUUAUAUGGGAAUAAAAUGUUCCACGUGUGGGAUUUUGUAUGUACCAUAUGAAUAAGGAUCGGCUAACUCCGUGCCAGCAGCCGCGGUAAUACGGAGGAUCCGAGCGUUAUCCGGAUUUAUUGGGUUUAAAGGGAGCGUAGGUGGAUUGUUAAGUCAGUUGUGAAAGUUUGCGGCUCAACCGUAAAAUUGCAGUUGAAACUGGCAGUCUUGAGUACAGUAGAGGUGGGCGGAAUUCGUGGUGUAGCGGUGAAAUGCUUAGAUAUCACGAAGAACGCCGAUUGCGAAGGAAGUUCACUGGACUGCAACUGACACUGAGGCUCGAAAGUGUGGGUAUCAAACAGGAGUAGAUACCCUUGUAGUC